AUUGUUCCUUAAUAUAAUUAACAAUCUUUAUCAAAUAAAUACCAUUCUAAAACAUAUAAUAUAAUUUGUUUAUAAUCAUAUAAUUUUAAAUAUACUCUCUUCGUUUUAUAAUACUUGAUGUUUUACCUAGAUUAAGAAAAUUACAUUUUUCAAAAAAAAAUAUUUUAAAGAUAUAAUUUUAAAAUCAAUUAACCAAUUAUAAAAAAGGGAAAUUACAUGUUUACCAUUUUCAUGGUACCACUUUUCAUUUUUACCACCACUAAUGAGAUAUUUUCAAAAAUACAUACUUCAUUAAGUGACAAAAGACUCUUAUGUCCUUGUUAUUUAUAUAUAUAAAAAAUUAUUAUUUAAAUAAAAAAUAAAAAAAUAAAAAAAUAAAAAU
rnacentral:lncRNA from 1 species